AAGUCGUAACAAGGUUUCCGUAGGUGAACAUGCGGAAGGAUCAUUAACACGCAUUUAAAGCAUCCAAUAUCAAAAAUCACAACCAAACGGUCAACUAUCUCCUCCCUAUUUCGCGCACCGGAGACGGUACGAGUAGGCUAACAUGUCAAUAACAUAACAUUUGUUAUGAAACAAACACAAGAUAACCCCUUUUAAUUAUAUUAUUCAUUAUAAUAUAAUAUAAAACAACUCUUCGAUUUGCUUCUCUUGAGAAGAAAAACGAACUAAACUAAAAUAUACAUUCGAUAUAUUUUUAUUUUACGAAAUAAUAUAUAUUUAUAAGAACAACUCUUAGCAAUGGAUAUCUUGGUUCUC
rnacentral:misc_RNA from 1 species